GCUGUGGCUCAGUGGUAAAGUGCUCUUCUAGCAUGUGUGAGGUGCUGGGUUCAAUUCUCAGCACUGCA
rnacentral:tRNA from 1 species